CUUCGGAUUGGUUGAUGGGUGGGCGGAUCGCCUCCUCACUGAGCUCAAAGGGAAGUCAGAGUGCAAAUUGGUGUGCAAAGGCCUUCUCAGAGGUGUCUCGUGACACCUCACUCAAGGAUGUAAAUUUGCUUCUGGUGACUGCCAGCAUUCCUUGACUUGUGACUUCAUCACUUCAAUCUUCAAGGAAGAUCAGUAUCUUGAAAUCUCUCUCUACUCUGUCUUCACAUUGCCUUUCUCCUCUGUGUGUAGAAUCUUCUCUGCCUCCCUCUUAAGGGAUAGAUGUAAUUGCAUUAUGGGCCUACUCCUAUAAUCCAGGAUAAUCUCCCCGUAUCAAGACAAUGAACUUAAUCAUAGAUGCUCAAUUGAAUCAUAGAUUCUUAACUUAAUCAUGGAUCCUUAACUGAAUCGUUAGUUUCUGUUAAGAAUCUUAGCUGUGAAGACUUUGCCACGUAAGGUAACAUUUACGGGUUCCAGGUUUUAUGACCUGAUAUCUUUGGACACCAUUAUUUAGUUGACUAUAGAGAAUAAGAGAAGAUAAAAGUGAGGACUAGCAGGGACAAGAGAAUGAGAGAGGACUCAAGCACAUCUGCUCAGUUUCUCCUCCAAGUUUGUCAGUCAGAUCCCUUCUCUACCAUUUUCCAUUCUGCUCUGUGUCCCAGAGGAGUACAGGAGGUUAGGAGGCUGACUUUAACAGACUGCAUCAAUGGGCUCUCUUGUCGUCUGGCUUGGAGUUCAGUGAUGUCUGAGAUCAGAAGAUCAGAAAACAGGAGGAGAGUGAGUUCAUGGUCUUCAUUUCUCCAUCUUCCUUCCUGUUGGUUGCCAUAGGCUGCCCAAGUUUGUCCACUGAAGAAUACAGUUCCUGCUGUGUGUGUGUUCAGUUACUCCAGUUGGGUAUGCCAUCUGUUUCCAGCAUGGAUGGGGACCGUUAUAAGAGGCAACUGCAAUAUUUCAAGUAGGAGAUGGUGAUAAGCAAUGGAAGUGGAAACAAGUGGCUGGACUCCUGCUUAUAUUUUGAAGGAAAAGCUGAUAGAAUUUGUUGAUGGAUGAGAAGUGGUGUGUGAGAGAAGGGAAAGAUUUAGGAGUGACUCCAAGGCUAUGGGCUUGAGCAGCUGGAAGGAUGGAGUUGCCACUUAAUGGACUGGAAAGUCUUCCUGAAGAGCAAAUUGAGGGUGGGAGCUUUUGUCAUGUGAAGUUUGAAGUAUCAACUAGAUAUCUAAGGAAUGUUUUCAAGUAGGCAUUUGGAUAUACAAGUCUGGUGUCAAGAGAGAGAUCUUGAAGUCAUCAGCUCAUAGAUGGUCUUUAAGGCCAUGGAACAGAUGACAUCGUCCAUUGCGUGAGUGGAGAGAGAAGAGAAAUAAGGGCUGUGUUUUGGGAUCAUCUAUAUUUGAAAUUUGAGGGGGUGAGGAAAACCCCAGAAAAUUGGACUGAAAGGGGUGACCAGAAACCAGGUGCGGGUGGUGUCCUGGAAGCCAAAUGCAGAAAAUAUUCAAUGGAGAAACUGUGUAAAAAUGAUGCUAAUAGUCAAAUAAAAGAACAACUGAGUAUUGACUACUAGAGAUCAUUGGUGAUAUUUAUGAGAAGAGUUUCUGAGACAUGAUGGAGACAAAAGUCUGAUUGGAGUGGAUUCAAGAAAGGAUGGGAGGAGAAAGAGUGGACAUAUAGGUUAUAAGAAAUCUCUUCCAAUGAAUUUUGCUGAAAAGGGAAUUAGAGAAAUAGGGCAGUACCCAGAGGGAGAAGCAGUAUAAGGAGAGUUUUUUCGUUUUUGUUUUUUUAAGAUGGAAGAAAUAAAAGCAUGUUUAUCUGCUAUAGGAAUGAUCCUAUAAAGGGGGAAAAUUUGACAGAAUUCAUUGAGUCAUGUAAUUUAAGAAUGAGAAGAAAAUGUAGGACCAUUUUUUCCCCCAAUCGCUUUGUUUUAUUAGUGAGGAAACUGGGCCUCAGAGGGGUUGACUAACUUUCCUGAAGCCCUAACAGAGUCCGGUAAUUGCUCACCCUUUUUGUCCACUUUCCACAUGUGUAUAAUGUUAGCGUCAUAAGAUGAGAGGGUCGUCAAAUUGUCUUUCCCUGUAUUUCCUUACCACUUUGUUUAGGAAUUAUCUUAGAUUUGGAUUAAUGGGAUCUAACUUCCUGACUAGCAGCCAUUUAGCCCAGGGAAUCUUUUGUAGGCAGCUGCUCACGUAAUGCUAUAUGUACAACUAAAUGGCACUCAAUAAAUAUGUCCUUCCCUUCCCUUAUCCUUCAUUCCACUCCUUUUUAUUCUCUCUAAUGAUCUCCUUUCCUCCAGUGAUUCUGCCAUGACCUGGCAAUCUACCAUUGGGAAUUCAUCCUAUUGUCUCCUGUUUGGAUAUGAAUAUUCUUGGUAAAUGAUCAUACUGAGCUAUGAUCAGCAGACUCCUCUGUGAAAUGUUUUAAGAGAUCCUUUCGGUGUUGUAACUAGCAAAAGGAAUACUUUAUUUGGAGUGCAGAAAGGAAAGAAGAGAAAAGAGAUUUAGAGAAGAGGGACUGAAGACAGGCCCUGUGGGAGUCACAUGAGGACCUAGGCAGGGGGGAAGCAGAAGAGAUCCUGGGAAGUGGGAAGGGAAGGCCCAAGGUCCACCCACUCUUUCCUCCAGUCCAGUGGCUCAUCUGCUUCUAAGUCAGGUGACCCGCCCUUCCCUGUGGCUAUUAUAAAAUAAUUUAUAACUGUUUCUCCUGUGAUUUUCUCUCCCCUUUUCUCAGCUUGCUUCAUUUUUUUCUCACUGCAUCUGUUUUAAUCUGACUUCCUGCUUUUCUUUCUAAUUACAAGAACUGUUGUCCUCGUUUAGUCUGGAGCAUGUGAGUGAAGGGCCACUCAGAGAGUUGCAAUGUGUUUGACCAGAGUGACAGCACCCAGGAGGCGUGUAUUUCUAAAUAAAGACUCUGCUCUCUUCUCAGGCUGUGAGGAAGGAAAGUUGAGGCACGGAGGAUUUCAGGGGAAACUUGGAAAUUGGA